ACAAUCGCCCUCGCUCGGCUCGAGGCGGAAGAGUCCCGUGGAAGACAGCAGCAGAUCAUGAUUCCGCGAUCGGAGACGACGGGGAAGGGCAGGACAUCGCCUUCAUAUCACACACCAUAGGACCUAUUUGAUCAUCAUUAAAAACCCAAGGUAAAAACCCAAGUCAUAUGUGGUUCUUAUCCCAACUUUCCCCUAAACAAAGCUGGAGGCGCACAUUUGAAAAAAUUUGUGUAAAUUUCCCUUUAUUUGUAAGAGACUGAGACCUGUUCAAGAAUGAAGAUGCUCCUGUGACUAAAGCAAGUUUUAUGAAGGUAUGGUUUGAAAGGGUUGAAGUGGAUGGUUUUGACUGGCCUGCUAAAGCUCUCUACUCAACCCUAGUGCAUUAAUGGCAUUUGGCAGACAUAUUUGAAUACUUUUGCGACAUACAUUACCUGACUUUUCUAAUGUGCAUGUGGCUG